AAAGUUGAUAGAGGCGCGGUGCGGAUGAGUAGCCGGCGGGAGGGGACACCCUGGGAACCCGGCAAAAGGCCAAACCGCCGAAACGGCUGGGCGGGUGCGCCCCGCCGUUGGGCAGGGGAAGAAGAUCUCCCUGACUCCUGUUUUUUAACAGAGGCGCUAUCGGUGAU
rnacentral:ncRNA from 2 species